rnacentral:rRNA from 1 species
UACGUAGGCAGCGAGCGUUGUUCGGAGUUACUGGGCGUAAAGGGUGCGUAGGCGGUUGUUUAAGUUUGGUGUGAAAUCUCCCCGGCUCAACUGGGAGGGUGCGCCGAAUACUGAAUGACUAGAGUGCGGGAGAGGAUAGUGGAAUUCCUGGUGUAGCGGUGAAAUGCGUAGAUAUCGGGAGGAACACCUGUGGCGAAAGCGGCUCACUGGACCAUUACGUGACGCUGAUGCUCG